CUUCUACAAAACUCAAUUUUUGUUAAAAAAAUUUUGAAAAAAAAAAAGUUACAGUGAAAAAUGCUAAAAGCGAAAUUUUUUAAAAAAGUUCACAGGAAGACUGCAAGAAAAUGGACUGGAGUGCAAAGUGUUAAAAAUGGUAAUGCAGAUAUAGUAGAUUCCUGUUAUCCAGGUUGGAUUAACACUUUGAUGCUGGAUAUUAAAAACAAUUCCAUUGGAAGACCAGAAUACAGCUAUUUUUCAUACAGCAAUUUUUCAUAUAAUUAAAAAAAAUUAAAAAUUGCUUAGCUAGUAAUGUCAUUUAUAGCUAAGAGUGAAGCUAGAUCAUAUUAUAUG
rnacentral:lncRNA from 1 species